UGAGGAAUCUUCCACAAUGGGCGCAAGCCUGAUGGAGCGACACCGCGUGAAGGAAGAAGGUCUAACGAUUGUAAACUUCUUUUCUGGAGGAGCAUAAUGAGAGUACUUCAGGAAUAAGGAACGGCUAAUCACGUGCCAGCAGCCGCGGUAAUACGUGAGUUCCGAGCAUUACCCGGAAUCACUGGGUGUAAAGGGUUUGUAGGCGGUUAUUUAAGUUGUAUAUGAAAGACCGAAGCUCAACUUCGAGUUUGUAUACAAAACUGGAUGACUAGAAUUAAGGAGAGGUAAGCGGAAUUCUGUGUGUAGGGGUGCAAUCCGUAGAUACACAGAGGAACACCAAAAGCGAAGGCAGCUUACUGGAAUUAUAUUGACGCUAAAGAACGAAAGCGUGGGGAGCGAA
rnacentral:rRNA from 1 species